UACCAGCACCCCGAGUGGUCGGGACGAUUAUUGGGCCUAAAGCAUCCGUAGCCGGUCAUGCAAGUCUUCCGUUAAAUCCAGCCGCUCAACGGUUGGGCUGCGGAGGAUACUACGUGGCUAGGAGGCGGGAGAGGCAAGCGGUACUCAGUGGGUAGGGGUAAAAUCCUUUGAUCCAUUGAAGACCACCAGUGGCGAAGGCGGCUUGCCAGAACGCGCUCGACGGUGAGGGAUGAAAGCUGGGGGAGCAAACCGG
rnacentral:rRNA from 2 species